GAAACUCCUGCAGGCUGGUCACCUCGGGAUUGAACUGCUUGUUCCACAGGCCCUUGAAGUAAAUGGCAUUGACCAACACGAGCGCAGUGUCGGAAUCCACAACGCCGUUGGGAAGAAGGUCUUUGAUCUUUGAUUUUGUGGCUUCUUCAACCCAUGCAUUGAUGGCAACUCUGGCUGCUUCAGCUUCGGUCUUGAAGUUGACUGGUACCACGGUGCUAUCGUAAAAUUUUUUCAAUGUGGCGAGGUAGUCUUCUAGGACUACAAACGUCUUUUCCGAGUACAAGCGAUUCGCAACGUCCAACAUCACGUCUGGUGCGUAGGUUGAGACUCUGGCAAAGAAUUCAGAGAACUGUCCAUGAUUCAGGACACCACUUGUGUGCAAGACUUUGGCGAUUUCGGCAGCAGUGUUCCCUUUG